CCCUUAGAUGUUCUGGGCUGCACGCGCGCUACACUGAAGCGUUCAACGAGUAUUCACCUUGCCCGGGAGGGUUGGGUAAUCUUUUCAAAACGCUUCGUGAUGGGGAUAGAUUAUUGCAAUUAUUAAUCUUCAACGAGGAAUUCCUAGUAAGCGCGAGUCAUCAGCUCGUGCUGAUUACGUCCCUGCCCUUUGUACACACCGCCCGUCGCUCCUACCGAUUGAGUGGUCCGGUGAGGCUUUGGGAUCUGAGCGGAAAGAGCGUUUCGCUGUUUCUGCCCGGAAAACUCAGUCGAACCUUAUCAUUUAGAGGAAGGAGAAGUCGUAACA
rnacentral:rRNA from 1 species